rnacentral:rRNA from 1 species
CAGUCGCCGCGGUAAUACGUAGGGUGCGAGCGUUAAUCGGAAUUACUGGGCGUAAAGCGUGCGCAGGCGGUUUUGUAAGACAGAUGUGAAAUCCCCGGGCUCAACCUGGGAACUGCAUUUGUGACUGUAGAGCUGGAGUGCGGCAGAGGGGGAUGGAAUUCCGCGUGUAGCAGUGAAAUGCGUAGAUAUGCGGAGGAACACCGAUGGCGAAGGCAAUCCCCUGGGCCUGCACUGACGCUCAUGCACGAAAGCGUGGGGAGCAAACAGGAUUAGAUACCCCCGUAGUCCCUGUCUCUUAUAC